CUCAGAAAAAUUCCCCCUCGUGUUUUGCCGCUCUUCUUCUCUUUGCCAUGGCUUCUGAUUCUUCUCCUGCUAAUUUUAACAACGAGGGUCGAAGAGUUUGAAUCACCCCAAAUACAAAACCAGGUAAAGCAACGAUCUCGCGUUUGGCGACUGCAGUUCAUGGUCAGCAAUUCCAGGCAGUUGAGAGAAAUGGCAGAUCUGCUAUGAAGAAUGACAGAUUCCCAGAUGAUUUGUUGGUUCUAUCAUGUGAAGAAGAUUGUGAAUUUUGUAUUCCUUUCCUCGAAAAAGUAUCUGUAGAUUGAUUUUUGGAGCGAGACUUGUUUAUUCUGAGAAAGAACUGGGGAAAAGUGAAAGGGAAGAACUGAAAUCAAAAUCCAACAACCAGCUGAGAAAAUCAUCAACAAUCCUCUUCUUACCUGUUACUGUAGCCCAUUUAUUUAAUCUUCAUAUCUGAGAGAAAUCAGUGAGUCUUGUCGUCGGAUGGGUGUUUCCUUUUCCUGCCCAUUUGCUAAAUGCAGUGAUGUGGAGAAUGGCUUAGAAUCCAUCACUGUGAAGUCCAUUAGCUUUGGUGAUGAUGGAGUCAGAACACCUCUUGGAUCCAUCAC